CAGUGGGGAAUUUUGGACAAUGGGGGCAACCCUGAUCCAGCCAUGCCGCGUGAGUGAAGAAGGCCUUCGGGUUGUAAAGCUCUUUCAGCCGGAACGAAACGGUCACGGUUAAUAACCGCGAUCACUGACGGUACCGGAAGAAGAAGCACCGGCUAACUACGUGCCAGCAGCCGCGGUAAUACGUAGGGUGCGAGCGUUAAUCGGAAUUACUGGGCGUAAAGCGUGCGCAGGCGGUUUUGUAAGUCAGAUGUGAAAUCCCCGGGCUUAACCUGGGAACUGCGUUUGAAACUACAAGGCUAGAGUGUGGCAGAGGGGGGUGGAAUUCCACGUGUAGCAGUGAAAUGCGUAGAGAUGUGGAGGAACACCGAUGGCGAAGGCAGCCCCCUGGGUUAACACUGACGCUCAGGCACGAAAGCGUGGGGAGCAAACAGGAUUAGA
rnacentral:rRNA from 1 species